CGCACCUUGCGCUCCUUGGUAUUCCGAGGAGCAUGCCUGUUUGAGUGUCAUGAUAUUCUCAAUUCCUUUGGCUCUUGCCGAAGUGAUAUUGGACUUGGAGGCAAUGUUGGCAUUGUUUUAAAUGCCAGCUCCUCUUAAUUGCAUUAGUGUGAAUCUGCACUUUAUACUUGAUGUGAUAAUUAUCUACAUCAUGUUGAAGUGAUAUAAGUUCAUGCUUCUAAUUGUCGCAAGACAUUCCAUUGACUUCUGACCUCAAAUCAGGCAGGACUACCCGCUGAACUUAA
rnacentral:misc_RNA from 1 species